rnacentral:rRNA from 1 species
AAACUUUCAACAACGGAUCUCAUGGUUCUGGCAUCGAUGAACAACGCAGCAUAAUGCGAUAAGUAAUGUGAAUUGCAAAAUUCAGUGAAUCAUCAAAUCUUUGAACGCACAUUGCGCCCGCCAGUAUUCUGGCGGGCAUGCCUGUUCCAGCGUCAUUU